UUGGACCUAAGGCGUCCAUGACAAGCUGCCAUGGCCGAAAGGCGAGAGGCUGAGUGGCGGCCCAAAAGAUGGCACUGUGUCCCCUUGACCGGAGCCGGUAUCCACCUGUAAAGCGUGAGGCCGGCAGUGCAGCGGUUGACCCGAUAUGAGAUUGCAUCGGGUGGGUGGAU
rnacentral:SRP_RNA from 1 species